GAACUUUCCAGAGAUGGAUUGGUGCCUUCGGGAACUGUGAGACAGGUGCUGCAUGGCUGUCGUCAGCUCGUGUUGUGAAAUGUUGGGUUAAGUCCCGCAACGAGCGCAACCCUUAUCCUUUGUUGCCAGCGAUUAGGUCGGGAACUCAAAGGAGACUGCCAGUGAUAAACUGGAGGAAGGUGGGGAUGACGUCAAGUCAUCAUGGCCCUUACGACCAGGGCUACACACGUGCUACAAUGGCGCAUACAAAGAGAAGCGACCUCGCGAGAGCAAGCGGACCUCAUAAAGUGCGUCGUAGUCCGGAUUGGAGUCUGCAACUCGACUCCAUGAAGUCGGAAUCGCUAGUAAUCGUGGAUCAGAAUGCCACGGUGAAUACGUUCCCGGGCCUUGUACACACCGCCCGUCACACCAUGGGAGUGGGUUGCAAAAGAAGUAGGUAGCUUAACCUUCGGGAGGGCGCUUACCACUUUGUGAUUCAUGACUGGGGUGAAGUCGUAACAAGGUAACCGUAGGGGAACCUGCGGUUGGAUCACCUCCUUACCUGAAAGAA
rnacentral:rRNA from 2 species